GUCCUAGCCCUAAACGGUGCACGUUUGCUGUAAGAGGAAUCGACCCCUUUGUGGCGAAGCUAACGCGUUAAACGUGCCCCUGGGAAGUACGGCCGCAAGGUUAAACUCAAAGAAAUUGACGGGGGCCUGCACAAGCGGUGGAGUAUGUGGCUUAAUUCGAUGCAACGCGAAGAACCUUACCUGGCCUUGACAUGCAAGUAGUAGAACCGUGAAAGCGGGACGAGGUAGCAAUACCAGCUUGCACAGGUGCUGCAUGGCUGUCGU
rnacentral:rRNA from 1 species